rnacentral:lncRNA from 1 species
CACCCUUCUGGGCCCCAGGCUGCCGCCACUGCUGGCGCUCCAGCCUUGGUUGCGUUGCGCCCUUGAGUCCCAGGAGGCGGAGCCAGCCCAGGGCUGCCAGAGGCUUUCCGGAAAGUAUAAUUUAAGCCCAACGUCAGUCUGGGAAUACUAUUCUCCACUCUUCUCCGGAAGGCGGUGGCAGCCGCCAGGCCAGGAAUCCCUUGAUCCUGAAAGUUUUGUGAGAAGGCCUGGUGAGGAGCAAUUGCAACCGCACACAGGAUGGCAGAGCAGAAAAUAGGUAUUUCUGAAAAGUUUUAAAAUUAGGAUUUAGACUAUACACCUUGGGUCCAUCAUUUCUACUCUGCUCUUCAGAGACACGAAUUAAUUAAACAUUUGAAAAUAUAAAUAAUAAUGGUCACCCACACUGACCUUCAGAAGACAUAAACAAACGAAUUGGGUGAAAAGUAGAACUGUCAUUUUGGAGGCAAGCUUUCUGGAGUAUUGAAUUCACUCCCUGUUUAAAGUCUUUUGCUUUGUAAUACCAGCAAUGAAUGGACUGGUCUUUACUGAGAUUGAAGAAGUGCUCU